CGGGCUGCGGGGCGCGGGCGGGCCGACUCCGGGGCGCUGCGUGCGCGCAGGGGCAGUCAUUCAGAUGAAAUUCCAGUCCCCGGCCAGAGACACCAGCCCGCCUCUGCCUUCCUCCUCCCUUCACAAAUAGAAACGGAAGGGGGAGGGAGAGAAGUGGAAAAAAAGGCAACCGGCGAGGGAGGGAGGGAGAAGCCCCGGCGGCGCUCCGGCCUGACCCCCGGGCGGCUACUUCUGCGCUCCCCCGAGGCCCGGCGCCCCCGCCGCGGAGAGACCCCGCGCGCCCGUCUCCGCGCUGGGCGGGCGCCCGGGCUCUGCCGAGGAAAACAAGGAUUGAUCAAACUAGAAAGGAAUUUUUCUCAACUGCUAAUGAACAGGAGGCUCGGGGCUGCGGUCGGAGCCAGCCUGCG
rnacentral:lncRNA from 1 species